rnacentral:rRNA from 1 species
GCGCAAGAGGGCAAACCCAGUGCUUGCACUGGGGGUUGUAGGACUGCAAUGUGCAAGAGGUAAGUUUAGCAGAACAUUCUGGAAAGUAUAACCAUAGAGGGUGAUAGUCCCGUAUGCGAAAAACAAAGCUUAGCUAGCAGUAUCCUGAGUAGGGCGGGACACGAGGAAUCCUGUCUGAAUCCGGGUCGACCACGAUCCAACCCUAAAUACUAAUACCAGAUCGAUAGUGCACAAGUACCGUGAGGGAAAGGUGAA